UACGAAGGGUGCAAGCGUUAUUCGGAUUUAUUGGGUGUAAAGGGUGCGUAGACGGCAUGUUAAGUCCGCUGUUAAAUUUCCCAGCUUAACUGGGAACCUGCGGUGGAUACUGAUGUGCUAGAGGAUGGAAGAGAGAAGUGGAAUUCCCGGAGUAGCGGUAAAAUGCGUAGAUCUCGGGAGGAACACCAAUGGCGAAGGCAGCUUCUUGGUCCAUAUCUGACGUUGAGGCACGAAAGCGUGGGGAGCAAACAGG
rnacentral:rRNA from 1 species